GACGAGCGCUGGCGGCAUGCCUAACACAUGCAAGUCGAACGGAGAUAGUGAAUGAAGCUUGCGAUUUCACAAUCUUAGUGGCGGACGGGUGAGUAACGCGUGGGUAACCUGCCCAUAAGCUGGGGAUAACACUGGGAAACUAGUGCUAAUACCGAAUGUGCUCAUUGGAUGGCAUCGUCUGGUGAGUAAAGGCGGCCUCUGCACAUGCUGCCGCUUAUGGAUGGACCCGCGUCUGAUUAGCUAGUUGGUAGGGUAACGGCCUACCAAGGCGACGAUCAGUAGCCGGCCUGAGAGGGUGGACGGCCACACUGGGACUGAGACACGGCCCAGACUCCUACGGGAGGCAGCAGUGGGGAAUAUUGCGCAAUGGGCGAAAGCCUGACGCAGCAAUGCCGCGUGAGUGAAGAAGGUCUUCGGAUCGUAAAACUCUGUCUUUAGGGACGAACGGCAGGACUGUGAAGAAUGGUU
rnacentral:rRNA from 1 species